AGCGAACGCUGGCGGCAGGCCUAACACAUGCAAGUCGAACGAACUCUUCGGAGUUAGUGGCGGACGGGUGAGUAACACGUGGGAACGUGCCUUUUGGUUCGGAAUAACUCAGGGAAACUUGUGCUAAUACCGAAUGUGCCCUUCGGGGGAAAGAUUUAUCGCCAUUAGAGCGGCCCGCGUCUGAUUAGCUAGUUGGUGAGGUAACGGCUCACCAAGGCGACGAUCAGUAGCUGGUCUGAGAGGAUGACCGGCCACACUGGGACUGAGACACGGCCCAGACUCCUACGGGAGGCAGCAGUGGGGAAUCUUGCGCAAUGGGCGAAAGCCUGACGCAGCCAUGCCGCGUGAAUGAUGAAGGUCUUAGGAUGGUAAAAUUCUUUCACCGGGGACGAUAAUGACGGUACCCGGAGAAGAAGCCCCGGCUAACUUCGU
rnacentral:rRNA from 1 species